ensembl:miRNA
UACUCUAUGAAUCUAGUGGAAUCAUUUCUGCACAAACUCGACUACUGAAAUCAGUGUGCGGAAAUGCUUCUGCUACAUUUUUAGGGUCUC